CUCAUAGCUGCAGCGAGACACUGGAUCAGAGCCGACAAGGAACCCGUUUGCCAGCAGGUACGUGCAGUUAAGUAUUACAGCUGAAUAAAUAGUACUAGACAAACUGGGACAAUAAUUUCACGAGGAAGUCAGUAAUUCAAGCUAAAAAUAAAGAGGUAGAGAAGGUCAUUUUGAACACCUAUGGUUUCAAAUACAGCUAUUUGCUGUUUUUGGCUGUACUCAAACAAAAUUCUUUAAAGUAAAUAUAAAGAAAAAGACAUCUUCAAAAAGUAAUUGUGUUAAGUGUAGGCAUAUGUUAAAUCACAUGUCUAAACUAUGCAAUUGUCAUUUCAGUCAACUCUGACCUGUAAAUGAAGCCUGGAACCAACUGAUUUCAUCAGUAACAGCUGCAUUUUUACAUGACGUCUAAAACACUCACAUUCCUCAGAGGCUCAUAUUUCUGUCCACUUCACAAGUCAAGACCUUUCUCGCUACUUCAAGUCUUACUUGGUUUUAUGUUAACCUGGGUUUUAUUGAGCCUGGCAGUGUGUCUGAGGCAGGACUUUUAGACAUCUGAUGUCGUGGUGGGGUAAAACAAUCUGGGUAGAAGACUUUCAGUUGUGAUUACACAGAAGACAAUGUCUCCACCGAAUGGAAGUAAAGUCAGGACUUUGAAUGAAAUCUAUUAAAUGUAUGCCAUUUGUAAGGCUCACAACCUCACAAGCUUUGAGCUUUAUCUAUAGUAUAUAUUCACAGCCCUUACUAAACUGUAUGAGUUGCUGGGGUGCAGAUUCAGCUCAAAUGAAUGUUGGUUCAAGCAACAAAAAAGGGAAAGGUGGGAAAAUCACUUACCAUACUCCAAAAUCAAGCAGGUUUACAUCUGUUAGCCCAAACAUCAAAAUUUAAGCAAAGAUAAACUCUAAAAAUGAAGUGAAGGAAGGUAGCUCUCAAUUUUGCAAACAUACUUUCAAUUUAAGAUUUUUUUCCGACCAAUUAUUCAGUGUUAGAAAAUUGUAGGUGAUGCACAAAUAAUGCACGUAAACAAAUUUUCCCCAAAUCAAAUCCAAAGCAAACCAUUACAUCUGAUGUAUUCAUGUCAGACACUGUGUAAAGUAAGGUCAAUCAAGUAGCGCUGUACAUAGACAGUAGAAGAAGAGCUGAUGUAAAACACGGCGUUUAGGGGAGGCUGUUUGUGAGGUGAUACUUUUUAAUUGCCUCAGACAAAUUUGUUUGGAGACGAACGUCACAUUCAGAACAUUAAAGUGGAUUUCAGCGGAUGAGCACGUAAAAGGCGUGUCCUUGGGGAGCAGUGUGAUGUGCUGGUAAUGAGUGGAGGUAAUGAAAGACUUCACAUAGACAGAUGUAUCCAUUUAAAAUAGUAAUAACUACAGUUAAGAUGGCAAAGAGCAAAUUACACACAACUUUCACUGAGGCAAAUGUUUAUACAGACUCUGCAGGGACCUGCCAUUUUUUUUACUGAGUCCCAGGGAAGUUAAGGGAGCUCCUGACGACUCUCAUUGCCCCUCAAACAAGGUCGAAACUGUGAUAGAAACAGCAUGACAAGUGCUGCUGGGUACUGUACCUCUGAGACCAUGCAGGCUUGGCUCCAUGCUUUAUGCACUACACAGCCAUUGUUGUGUGCGCUGAAUGUGUGUUAGCUAAAGAUACGCUUUUAUUUUCAAUGAUGUAUUGUUUAUUUAAGUCCUCUAUUUGCAUGAUUAAAUCCAGCUUCAACACCAACAGGAAAAAGUCAUAGUUCCUACGUUUAAUUACGACGGAAGCCUUUUGCGUCAUGCGACAAGAUUAGAGGUUAGUCCUGCUUGCAGCUCAGUCUGCAGGCAGAGCAUGUGUGACCUACAAAGGGAUGCGUGUCCAUCCAUAUGGAUGCUCUAUCUGCGCGCUGACAAGGUAAAUGACACUUUAUAGAGCUGUGUCACUCAUCGCGCUGCAUGUGUUUGCCAAUGAAGUGUAGGUUAGGCCCAAAGCCUUCACCUCUCGUCUGUUGUUUCAGGUCCAGCCUGCCAGUGAAUCACUAAAGGUCAAUAGACUCAAAUGACGGAGCUGAGCACUUCUUCAUUCUGCUCUGAUAGAGAGCACAGUGCAAGUUAAAGAGCUGAGUGUUGUUUGACAGCAGUGCACACCUUACCUGAGCAGUCAUUUUGUGCUAUGUAAUUCCCCAGGCAUUGUGUCACAGAGAUGCCUGUGUGGACUCGCAGGCCUUUGUUGUGGAGUCACAUAAAAUGAUGGAUAGUACAUGAGUGAAUGAAGAUGAACCUCUCUGCACUAUGUGUGUUUUUGCUGCCUCCUCCUCAUGUUCUCCUGGAGGCCAUUUAUCCUGAUUUAGACUCGAGUGGGAACAUCAGUACUUCCCCUUUGUGCCGGACAGAGACUGAUACUCAGCGUCAUAAAGCCUUAGCAGCUUUUCGCUACAAAUUCUGAGGUGGAAAUCUCUGAGGAAUGGUGUUUGUCUAAAACUUUGAAGAAUAGAGUGGUAUACGCCUGUGUAGAGAAAGAAAGCGCGAGGGAAGAGGAAGAGGGAGAAACUGAGGACAUGAGUGUCUUUGCCUCUCGCAGUCAGCAUGCACAGAGCUCGCCCGCCAUGUGCCAAAGCCGUGCUUCCCACGCAGCUAAUGGUGGGGAUGUGGAAAUGAGAGGCUGGCCGGGGCGAUGGAGGCAGGGGAUGUGUUAAUUGAAAGUUAGGAUCACUUUGUGGCCAUUACGAGGAAACCUGAGACGUGUUAACGCAACAGAGUUAGGCAGCACCUGCUGUCACCAGCUAAUUGUGUUGGGUUUGGUCAUGUCUGUCAGGAGCGGGUUCCCAUCACGCUCUGCCUCUAGUUACAGCUGUAUUACUGCCAGAGUUGACAUUACAGCAGCAGCCACAGGGGAGCCAGAGCCAACCUGCGACCUCGCCACCGCGACUCAGUCUGAUGGAUCCUCAAAAGCCGAUAUGAAUCCCAGCCAUGUCAUUAUUUCGCCAUUUGUGGGUUUUCUUAGAUUUUAAUUGCAAUAAAUUAGACACCAGUCAAAUUUUGUGAGCAGUAUGUCCUUUUUAGCUCAUUAUAUUUUGGAUUAGUGUCUUUAAUCCCAGAAUGGUGUAUUGACUGACUGAAUAAGCCUCUGCUAGGCGAAGAAAAAGCGAGCAGUGUGUUUCUAAUUCAUCCUUACUUACAUAUGCAUCAGUCACAAACCAGGGUGCUGUGCAGAUGACUCACUGAGGAGGCAUACUGUGCUUUUGAGGACCUGCUAGGGGCAGCAAUGUAUAAUCUGAUUUAGACUAGAGCAACCUCCUAUUUAUUUUUAAUUGUCCCACUUUAGCAUUUAAGAGCUAUUGAUCCCCGGAAAAGCAUUAAGUGACAGAAACACUAUUACUGUUAGUGCUCCCUGCUUGGGGAAGGCACAUCAAAGGACAUUUUAAUGUCACUGACUUUCUGAGGGAAUUUGAAGCCGGGUUUUGAACAGGCCAGCCUAUGAACGCAAAGGACACACAAUAGACAAACGCAGAAACAAAUGUGAGGGCAAUUUACAGCUAAUCAAAGAAUAGCUAGGAAUUGAUUUUCUUUUUUUUUUUUUUCUGGGUGAAUGUUUGUGGAGCAAGAUUUUUUAUAAAACAGCAACAUUUAAAAGUCAUGUUAGGCUCUUGUUCAGUCCAAAACCCUGAUCGUUGCAAUUUAUUAUUUAUAGAGAAAAACAAGGAGAGAUUAGAGGGCUCGCAGGAAAACUCUGCAUCUAUCACGCUGAAUCUAUUCAUGAAGAUUUUCCACAUUAUGCUCACGCCCGGUGCCUUAUUUGUCCGGUAUUUGUCUGUGGAUAUCACACCUGUAAUCUACGUAGGGCUCUCUGUUGAACAGUCGCCUCGCAUUGACUCGGCUCUCAAAAUACGUCCCUUUCAAGUCAGACCUCCCCCUUCUUCUGCCACCAUCCCCAGAUGUUUUGAUUAGCAGCAACUCGUAUGCUGGUCAGAUCCCGGGAUUAAUGAUGGAUAAUUUGCCUAAGGUUGGCACAGCACACCGCCACGCUGCCAGCCUUUGGAUGCCAUAUGGGCAGAAGCAGCUGUUUUCAUUACUCUCCCUUGCCCAGAUGUGUCAAACAGGAUGCCGACUUCAAUCCGCAGUCUUGCUGGCACUUGGUGGGGGGUGCUUUCUACUAGCUUGGCAGCUAAUUACUUUAAUGUAGCUGGGUAUGGAGGCCCUGCGUGUUUUUUAAAGGCCUUUUACAAACAGCUGAAUGCCAGCUGUCACCUCUGUGCACAAUGAGGGAAGAUGGAUAGGUAGUCGCUGCGAGUCUGAUGAGGUUGGCUCUGGGCACAGACCCAGCCCAGACCAGGGGCAGGGUUAGCCUCUGCUCACGAACAAUGAGAAGGUCAUCCCAAAUACAUGCUGGCGAGCCACGUGUUCACAGCACCGCAGUGACACCUCUCACUUUGCUAAAUUCUGCACUUUCAGAACCGACCUUGCCCGUGUUGACCAUGUGGCAGCGUUGCCCCCUCUCUCUCUCUCUCUCUCUCUCUCACUCACUCUCCACCCAAAAACACCACUACUCUUGCAAGGCUUGUUCAAUGAAACCAAUGUGAAUGUGGUAAUCUGAGCCACAGAGGUACAGUGCCAAGUCACAGCAAAGACCACACACAGGAUAAGCUGGCACAGGAGCAAAAGAACGGCAAGUGAAAACAGAAAGGAGGAUGCUGCCAGAAUGUCAGCUGGGUCUUUACAUGAGAUUGCACACAGCACAGAACAUGUGUUCAACGUGUCCCAUUUCCUGCUGAGCCGCUCUGUUUUAUUGUUCGGUGAUAAAUCCUGAGAUUUGUCCCAACUGCCACAUUUCUCAUUGUUCAGACAACUACGCCGCUGCAGUCUUCAAACCGUGUAUAAUGUGCUUUAAAGUGAUUGACAUCAGUCAGAUAAAACCUCCCCUUUUAUUCCGGGACAUUGACACAUGCCAAACAGCCUGAAUAAUACAAAUAAUAGCACGGCGCAUUCAGUCAAUUCCAUCAUUACGGCAGCACAGGGCAUCAAUAAGUUUUCAUUAUGUUGAGAUGCCAUGUCUAUAAUAUCACUUAAACAGUGCCCAGCAGCAAGAGAGGAGUGCUGACACGCUGAAAGGGUCAACAGCAGCUGUCUGUGGCUUUGAUAUUUCCAUCAAUAAGGCUUCAUGUUUCCACACCUGUAUGUCCUCUCUCCUGUAAUGAUCAACAAGGGGUUGCUAGCAGUCAAUACACUAUGAUAGUUUCUACCUAGGGCAGGGGAUGAUGAAAGCAUUGUCUUCAUGCUGUGCCUCCAGUCAUCAAGGUGCCGUAACGCGUCCAAUGACCGGCUUCUUUUGAACCGUGUUGAGUUUUUCCCUCGUAGGUCGCCAGAUAAAGGUUGAAUUCAAAUGUUAGGAAUUUUUAAGCGCUGCUCGUCUUAUUGACAGGCUUCAGAACGGGAGCGAUGUGGGAACAGAAUAAACACUCCCUCGCAGCCCGAUUCCAACAAAGUCACAAGGGUGUUGUUUUUGUUGCUGUUGUUUUUGUAAAGUAUUGAUCUUAAUGUUGUGCUUCAUGUUUCAGUCUCUGUUGGGGGAGCCAUGAGUAAAGAGAGCGUUUAGUAAAUCAAAAGAUGUUCUUUUAAGCAAGGGUACCACUCACUUUCUUCUCCUUCCCUCUUUCUUUGUAUUUUGAGUGACAUUUUGUUCAAAUUACUGACUGCGCCUUAGGGGAGGUGAUGCUGAACCUUAAACUGUUAGCAUUGUAAAUACAAGUGCUGCCUCAUUUCCUCCAUGUAGUUCAUAAUUCAAAGUGGUGUUUGUUCACCGCAGCUCCAACACUUUCUCCGUGUAGUGCGCAUCCCCUUCACAGCACUUUUAUAGUCAUGCUCACUUUUGGGCCUUAGCCUCUACUCCCAUAGGAGCCUAUUAUCCUUCUUAACAUAUGCAAAAGCUUGCUGGAUUGUGCAUCAUACUCACUUAGGGACUUGACACACUCGUGUUAUGAGGCUGGUACUUGUGUGCGGGCUGCUCAGCAUUAUUGCAGGGUUGCUUCUCAUUUGGAAAGCUCUCCUCACUCUGAGGGCUUUCACAAAGAAAGUCAUUAUAAGUUUGGAGCAGACAUGAAGGGUCGUGAAACAGACGGAAGACAUUAAUAUAUGUUGGUAGGAGUUUGGAAAUCACGAAAACCUCCACAGUCUGGUCGCAAGCUGCGAGACCAGAUAGGUCUUUAAGUCCAAGUUUGUCCUUUCUUAAGCGUAUAUGUAGAAUAAAUAACCUUGUUCUCUCUUUCUGGUGCUAAAAACACACUUUUGGUCUUUAAUUCACCUACAGACCAUCACAUUUUUUAUCCACGAGAAGUAUGUUAUAAAUAUUUUUAAUUAGAUUCGAGGACACAGAAAAACUAGCAGUUUUUCUCAUCAUCACGUCUGUUCAGAAAGCGCACACUCAAUAGAGAUGGGGGCACCUCAGCAACGCUUUGAUUUCAGCUAUGAAAUUUUAAUUUGAAAAAAGAAAGGAGGGAACAUAUUGCGCUCAUUCAAAUCUAACUUUGUUCCCUCAAACUGGAAGAUUGGAUUUUCUUAAUUAAAUUAUCCCCCUUGUUCACAUACUCAAGGGGGCCAUUGGCUCAAGGCAGUGAGAAAAAUGUGUCUGGGUUUUUGGAUGCUCGGCUGGCAUAAUGCUGGUUUGUGAAGAGAAUGAAAUGUUUUGUUCUGCUUAGACUCCUUUUUUCCAUUCCAUUUGGACUCCUUUUUUCUAACUGGCCGUCCCUGCUUUCUUCUGUGCUCCUCUGUGUUGUGCCAGCAUCAGCCCUGAGCCUCUCACCGAGAGAACGCUUUGAUGUGUCCCCACUGUGCCGCCGCCCCCCUGUGCCCUGAUUGGUGGAUAGCAGGCGGGGCUGGCGGGGCAAUGUGGGAGUGGAUGGGGGAUGAAAGCGAGCAGGGCAGCGAGGGGGCACCUGCACACAGAGCCUUGCCUGUGUGUCUGCUUCAUCUUCAACUGCUUCCCUUGACCGCAGGCUGAACUCCUGUGUCAGCGACCAUCACACGGUCGCUGUGACCUCCCUCCCUCUCUCUCUUCCCCUCUUUCUCUCUCUCUCGCUCUCUCUCUCCCUGUCCCUCAAUUUAUUCCCUCUCUCUCUCCCUACACAUCCUUCUCUUUUCUUUCACUCCCUUUUGUCUGCCUCUCAAUAAAUGUGUUAUGAGAGAGUAGCAGAUGACAGGUGAAUCUCUCUGUGUGUGGAGUAUUAAGCAGAAUGUGAAUCUAAUGAAACUCCUGCGUUAUUCAGGCAGAUUUACAAAAGCACCGAGAUAAAUUCUCAUCUCAGGAAGCAUAAGGUAUAACUUAAAUACAUACUGAAGAGUUUUAUAAACCCGACCAAAAUACAGAUUUUAAAUUUCCAGCGAACAAUAUCUGACUUCAUCUGUCAACUUCAAAUCUCCUGUGAAAAUUUGAUUAACCAUAAAACACUGCAUUUUGUCACUCCUGUAAUACCAUUUAGAGCUACCAGAGGGUCAAAAGUGACCCGCCCACCCCCUUCUUUUAGUUUUAUUGAGAUGCCUCAGCAAUAAGAGUACUGUUUCAGCACAGCUGUAUGCCAGGGCAGACCAGUCUGCAACAAAGACUGCCUCUGUGCCAUCACAUUUUUAGACUUUGCUGGGUCCAGGAAAAUAAAGGGGGGAGUUUGGUUUGUGGCCGUUUUACGGUUAGCUCAUGUUACCGACAUAACAGAUUUACUUUUGUUUGUUUUUUAUGUGGUCACGGUGCUCAGAUUAAGAUCAGAAUUUGAAUGGUAGUAGUUUCCUCUCAAACCUGAACGUGAUUAAAACAGUUUUUAAAUCAAGAUUGAAACUUGUGACAUGUAGGGAAAAUACCGCACCCAUCAUUUUAAUAUAAAAUCCUCUGACUAUGCCCCUGAUUUUCUCUGUGUUACUUCAUGUGGUUUUAAUCAAAAGAGACACAUAGAAGUAUCAGUGAUUAGCAUCUGUUUAAAGCACCACCUAUGACCCUAAAAUAUGAAGCCUUAACAACACUCACUUCACCUCCUGUGGUAAUUGAGCUCUGACCCUUGUGUAUGUGUUUGCAUUUAAAAAAUUGUGCGUGUAUUUCUAAGAAGAAAGGUGUUAAUUUCUACUUGCUGCGUUUUGUUUUCUUCCUUUGCACAGCUGUGACUCCACUCCUCCGUGCUGCUCUCAGGAAACACUCAAUGAUUAAGAUCGGUCUGCUUUUUAGAGCUUUUUGGUGUACAGAGAUCUUAGCUGACCCUGCGUAAAUGCAGUUGUUGCAGAGGUGACCUGCUUGUAAAUGAGGGUCACGGUUCAGGUGCUAAAGGUCACAGGAGCCGGCCUUCUCUGUGCGUGAGGGCACCUUAGUGGCUGCCACCACUGUGACCUCCAAAUGCUGAACGUGCAUUUGAUUGUGUUAGGGCCAAUAAGGUAUGGAGCUCCCAGGCAGCAGAGAGGUCACCUCUGGGCCCAUUGAGAUGUGAAAGGUGACAGGCAGCAGGAUCUAAGCCAAUAGAACUCAAAGAGCAUCUGUCAGAUGUCUUGGACAGGAGUGUUUGCUCAGCAAUCAGACUUCUUUCUUUGAAAGAGACACAAGUGCUCCGUGGAUGGAAAGGUGUUCUUCAAUGCUAUUCGAUACUGUAUAAUGGUAGGAAGACUGUUUAUUUAAGUACUAUUUUCAGUAAAAAGCAUUUAAAAGUAACAUAUCCUUAAAUUACCAUUUAUGCACCUUGUUUUACUCACCUACAUGUUUGACGGAAACUCAGAGGAAUUGUUAAAGAAGUGUAAAAGACUUUCAAAGCUGCCUGUGCUUGAGAAUUUCAGAGCAAAGCAUCACAACGCACAGCACUUAGGCCAAAUCCCAAAGGCCGUGACUGGCGCAGCGUGUCCCACAUUAGCUCAACCACAGCUCACUGAAAUGGACUCGCCUGAGUGGAAUGAAACCCAUAAGGCACCAUGCACACCACGCCGGCGGCUUUAUCAGACAAAGAUCAAUGGACGGCAGCAUUCACUCGGAGCACCCAAGCUGCAAGGACAAAUACAGUAUCUUGGGGGGUUGUGAGAGUCAUUGAUAGGCUUAGGCUGUGUAUGUGUACGUCUCGCCUCCUUUAAUCAGGUUUCCCAAUAGCAAACACUGGGCGUCAAGUGAUGCGUUUCAGGCAGCGAGGCCUUUCAGGCAGGACAAAAGGUGGGAGAAGCUGUGGGACUCAGGGCCCGGCCCUCUUCUUGGCUGAAUGUCUCGCAGUUUUCCAGUGGAGCUCAAAAGGCCUUUGCCCUUCCAGCUGUAAAAUUGGCAGACGGGGAGCCUUGAAAAUCCCCCACUAACUGUGAGUCCACACAAAACUGCAGCGUUUACUCUGAAGGAGCUAACCAGGCUUAAACACGGCCCACAUCAGACGGUGGUAGAGACUCAAAACAGCAUAUUUUCCAGAGUGUUAUUGAGGCUAAGAAUAAAGUUUGUAUUAACAUAUAUAUACAGAUUUGUUUUCAUGACGGGGGAUAGAGGAAAAGAGUUUAUGAUAAAAGCAGCCAUUGAAGAAAUUAACAUCUCCUCAAAUAAUAGAAACAUCAAUAAUUAACCUAGCUCUGUAGUCAUUCAAACUGAACAGGUUUAGAUUUGAGGAAGAGGAUUUUCUUCUAAUCAUGUAGUUCAAGAAACCUUGUGAUUUGUGAAAUAAACAUUCCUGGUUUUCAGUCAGAAGAAUUAUUAUAAUUCAAAUGCAUACCACUGAUAUCUGAAGGUUUUGAUGGGUCUGGUAUUACACACCAUGAUAUUGCAACAAGCUAUAACCUUUUUAGUUUAAAUCCAUUACUAUAUGUGUCUGAAAUCAUACAGUACGUGAAUGGUGCUCCCCUGUAUUGAUCCUCAUGCUGUGAGCAUCUAUACAUUAGAGCACUAAGUGAAAGUGCUGCAGGUCUGUGUUCAUAAUUAUUGCAUCACAAGCUAGUGAACUGAACUAAAGCCCCUCAGUGGAGAAGAUCAUUUAUUUAUGAAGUGGCCCGUGAUUUUAGAAGGUCAUGGAUCUUAUGAGGCAUUUUCGGUUUAUAUCAUAAAACAGUUGAUGUUCAUUCAAACAAAGAAGCAGCUCCACAUUAAAAAGCUGUUUAUGAUGCGAUUGCAAUGAACGACCUUUUGAACGUAGUGUGUUAUUAGGAAAUUAGUGACAGUGAGUGCCUAUUUGGAUAAACCACAGAUCAAACCACUGCUCUGUUGUUGUUUAACCAUUAUUAGACACCUUCACAUGUCAUGUGUAAAUACUCAGAUCUAGGUAUAUGUCUGUCAAUGUGCAAGUUAUCAGCUACUUUUUGAUUAAUUAGUCCAUUUUUUUAAAUGAAUAUUGAAAAUUUUAACUUCCUUUUAGUUUUUUCAGACCUGACCUCACUGCAGGAGCGCAGCACUGUGGCAGCAGACAUUCCUGUCGAAGCGUGUUGAACGAUGCUACGAAGAGCAAUCAACUGGUAACCAAAUUAACUUUGAUGUUAAGUGCUGUUGAUGUCACGCAGGUUUUCCAGGUGUUGGGGUAUAUUUAUUUUAUUUCCUUUUUAUUUGUUAAAGAGGGACAGUGUACAUUAAUGAACAUUUUAAAAAGAUAAAAUGUAAAUGGACCCAAUUGUAGCCACAAGGCUAGUUUCCAUUGGUAGUCCCCCAAAAAGGUGGGAAAUCAGCAACUACAUAAAAACAUACAUAAUACACAAUAUUUAAAACAUCAACAUUACCCACCCGAAAGCACGCCAACCAACUAAUGAGAACAAAUUUGGUUUUCAAGUAACCACCUCUUCAAAUUUACUUUAAAUGCUCUGUAUGUUGCUCUUGUUGUAAUGAUUGGUCCUUCAGUUGGUAAUUGCGUAGACCUCAGAGUUGUAUGCUUAGUUACCGAUGGGGCUAUUGUUGGUGGUGGUAGUGGAGAACCAGUCACAAUCACAAUUGUGGUUGUCCAGUUGUUGGAGAUGUUGCUUGUGUGGUUACAACUGGACCCUCAAUUGUGAUAGGAAGCUUUCCGGUUGAUAGUGUUGUAGAUUUUGUAGUUGUUGUUGGUUACUCUAUAGUAUGAGGAGGUGAAGUUGGGGGUCUUGUCGGUGGAGAGGUUGGCACUGCAGUUUUAGUUUUUUCAACUACAUGCGACUACAUCCUGGAUCCUGGAUUGAAACAUUCCGCUGCUCACCCCUUCUGUUGGUGAAGGGAUGGUGGCCUUCAAGACAUAAGAUGCAUGAUAAGUAUGAUCAUCCAUUUGGCAAGUUUUUACCAUCAAACCGAUACGUCAUGAAGUUUGUUUCUUCUGGAGGCUGCAGAUUCAGAUCCUCUGUGGUUUCAGGACUGCAAUUUUAGGACCACAAUCCUAAGACCAUAUAGUAUAUUGGGUAGCCGAGGACUACAUUUUAUUAUCAAGAGGAAUGACAAGGGAAGAUUUAAUUACCCUAUCCCUGACUGUCAAAACAAACUCUGCAGUCACAUGACAUUCAGGGCCAAACACUAUUUUCCAACUAUACUGCUUAAUUACAGACUGCACCUCUGAACUGGGGUGUUUCGGUGCUUUUUAAGCUUUCAGGCUUGAUGCUUUUGUUGUGUUUGACCAAAUUUUAAGGUUGCAGAGUUUAAGAACAAGUAAAUAAAGCCUUAAUUAGGUCAUUUUGUGGUUUUGAUAAUGUUGGGUGAGUGUUAAAUCUUUGAAAAUGUUUUCUUUUUUUUUACAUGUCGUUCACCUUCUGGAUAAAUCAUUUACAGUAGCCUUGAUGAGAAUGUCAGCUGCCUUUAAGAGAACGUACUCGUGAUAGGUAUUCCUUUUACUGAUCAAAUGAAAACUGAAGGAUGCAAUACUUAACUUGAAGCAGCUUUAAAAUGGACACAAUGAGAGAAAACACAGCAGCGUGCACACUAAUUAGGAUAGUUGGUGGUCUUCUGUCACCUUUGGCAAAUGUAUGAAAUCGGCUAACGACGAGGUUAUGGCAAAGGCACAGGGACACUUUGGAGGUAGACAGUGUUGGAGAUGUGCAGUUGACACAGAGCACAUCAGUCAGGGCCUGGCCAUGUUGUUUACAUGAUUCACAGAACUUGCUGCUCAUCACGGCUUGUGGCGCUCUGUCAGGAAGAGAGGGAAGGAUUGUAACUUUGGCCCUAUUGUUUAACAGCACCCAAAGACGGAGGACACAGAAAUUAUUCUGAAGAGCAGGAGGCACACGGUGGAAAAUGACCUUUAACUGCACUUCCUUAGCUGAAUCUCAUCCAAUUAGAGCACUGUAUAUUUUCCCUAAUAGCAGCUGAUGAGGCAGGGCGUAUGAGCGAGCACGCCCGAGCGGCGUUGCUAUGCAGCGAGAUGGCUGCUUAGCACCAGAGGAGCGCUGGGGAAUAAGUGAGCAGAGAGCUUUAAUUUGAUAGGGUUAGAAUCCUGCAGGCUCUGGGGUCGUGGGUCACCAGGAGCUUGUCUCACACUGAAUAUGAAGAAAUCAGAAGUAAAUUGCUUACAUCUGCUGCCAGUGGCUGUGAAGGCUGUGAUUGGCUCCCAGAGGUGUGCACUAUCUAACGCAGGCAGUGGAAGGGGGCCUUGGUGCAAAGAAGGCUUGUAAUUGGAGUAAUUCUGCAUUAAUAGAUGUUAAAAAUCCUCCAAGCAGCUGGUUUGAAAAGCAGUGCCUUGGUGAAAUGCAGCAGGAUUACGGAGGCGUUUUCCUUUUUUUUCUCUCUCUUCCUUUAAAUGCCUGCUCUACAUUGCAAUCACAGCAGCUGGCUGUAAAUGCUUUGUCUCCCUGAUGAAGCCAAUGAUUGUUAUGUCAGACAGGAGAGCAGAUAAAUAAGGUAAACAAAAGUGCCAUGUGAAAAUUACUAUUCAUCAGCAUUGUCCACAGCGUGGAAUGAGAGGAAAUGGCUUGUAAUAUUACUGCCAAUGAAUAAUGUUAUAGCAGGUCAAAGUUUGAGACGCUCCAUAUUGCAUCCUCCAUGUUUCCAUGUAUAGAUUUCAUACCAGCUAUCCGCUUUGUUUGUCUUGUGCUUAUUGUGAAGAGCUAUUCCAUCAUGCUACAAAAACACUGAACAUGUUCUCCUGUUUGUGUGACUCUGUGUGGUGGUUCAUGCGUCUCAUCACAGCCCUACUUUGGGAGUGUGUCCAACAGAAAAUGGGACAGGCUGUGAAUUAUCACAAAUGCUCUGGCAAAUGACACUUCAUUGGAAGGUCUUUGUCACCAAUUAUGUGUCUAUUAAGAAACAGUCAAUCAGUCAAUGUGCAAAUAGCUAACCCUCCAAGGGCUCAGCUAUUGACAGGAAGCUGUCAAUAGUCCAUCUGAUAUGAUUUAGCUGUUGAGGAACUGUGUGCUCACCGCAGACGCUUGACAAUCCAGACGCCCGUUUCUCGGACAAACUCCUAUUCUCACUAGUUUAUUGACCAAUAAUUAUUUUAAUGAGCCUUUUUAAUGGAAAUGUAUUAUUCACAUUGGAUUUGUUGAGUAGCUCACUAAACCUUUUGAUUACAAGGUUCCUGGCACAUCAAGUGUAGGUCGUUUCUGUGCCUAGCAAAAUAAAAGUUUCCAUUUCACAUCAAGGGCAGCACAUUUUUCUGUUAUGUAACACAAAUGAGCCACUUUCCUCUUUGUCUUGUGGCCUCCAGCAUAUUAUGCAGUGUCUACAUUUGACUAAACCAAAACACAAAUUGGAUGUCUGGCAGACUAAUUUGAUUUCCCCAAAAACCCUGAAACCCAAACCCUGUUAGUUACCUCAAAUGAUGGACACUAAUACUGUUUUUUCAGCGUGCAACUCCAGCUCGGCAGACUAUCCCAUCCCAAUCAAAACAGUUGCUUCCCAAAUGUUAUUACAUUAUGUUGCCAUUUUCAGAUAAAUGACUGUAAAACAGCUCUGCCUCACCAUUGAUGUCCAUGCACAAACACAUUACAUCCACUUGUGUACUCUGGUUUCAUAGAGUCCCAUUGUCUCAUUUAACUAACUUAUAUACCCAAGAUUAUGUGCUACAAUACCACCACUGUGAAUUCAAAACUACAUCUCUUAGCUAUAUAAAAAUCAAGAUGCAAAUUAUGCAGCAAAAGUGCGUUUUUUUCCAGUUUGGAGGGCUUUAUCAUGCAUCUAAAGCUGUCACCAGACAUGCAGAAAUAAGGAGAAUAUAAAAACAGGUGUACCCGCCUAAUAUAAGUGCUGAGAGAUGUUUGCUGGAGCUUUUCAGACAAACUCCCCAUCAAACACUGACUGGCUUGUCAGUAAGCAAAUGAUAAAAUAAAUGACAAUCCUGUGACACUGCAUUUGCUUGAACCAGUCAGCUGGGUAACAUAGCUUUCACUCACACGGUGACACAGCCUGACGGAUAAUCAAACAGCCACGGGGCACACGCUGAUACCCUACUUCAGAAAUACAGUUAUUCCUCACCAUAAAAUGCAUGUGAUUUGGCUCAGCUGUUGCCAUUAGGUAGAUAAGUGCAUCUUUUCAAUUUCUCUCCCAAGCUCACAGGAGACUCUUUACGUUCAGGGUGGAUCAGACUGGCAGAGAGUGUGCCGAGGAGCUGAUAGUCCUCAGCUAUCCGCCAUAAUUACCAUGACAGGCUCACUUAAGCUUCUCCUCCAUCCAACAGUAACUGACAUGGAGAGAUCUCAGGAUCCUUGUUGUGCAUAAUGGUCGUACACAGCCGGAAAAAAAAGCAAAGGUUACAGCCUCUACAGUUUAGACAUUGUUCUUGUAAUAAAAGAUGUCUGAAGAAUCUAUUCCAUUAAGAAACUGUUGAAAGAAAGAAGACAGCGAUAAGAUAAAUUAGUCCCAGAUCUUUAAGGAGGACUUAUCACACUUAAAAAACAGAUGCAAAAUAAACUAAAAGAGGGAUUUACUUCUGAAAAAUAUCUUAAAUCUAACCCUCUUCUUCUAGGAAUUCAAACGUAAGCUUUAAUUUCUUACAUUUUCUUUCAAGCUUUUAUUUUAUAAACAGAGGAUUUCAACAUGUCCAGUCCUUUGAUUUUUUUUUCUUCCUUUCAUUUUUUGGCACAUCUGAAUAUUUUUUUUUCUGUUUCCUUGUUUCUGAUAUGAUUUGUGGGGGGAAGAAAAUAAACAGAUAAUCAUUAAAAAGCAAAGUAGUCCCAUAAAUCAGUGCUGGGUGUUCCAGCUGAGGUAGCUCAAUAAGCUCUCCCUUAAACAUUGGCCCAUGGUAAUGGGAAUAUCUGAGGGUCAAUCGGGGUUAGGCAGUCUUCCUCAACAGGAAAUGAGCUUUUGGUGGGCUGUGUUCCCAAGGUAAUGAGCAAUGUGUGUGUGUUUAAUCUUAGCUAAUAUUGUUAUAAUAACUGGAUAAAUUAUUAAAAACAAGCAAAUGGUAACAUUUUUAAGACCACCAGUGCAACUUGAGUUUGUUGCAUUAUUUUACAAGUUUGACACGACAGUGGAGCAGUAAAAUGUUGGAGUACCUUUUCUUUUUACUGUGUUUGGGGAUUGGGAAUAAUAACACUCUACAAACCUGGGGGUAAUCUUUUUUUCAGGGGUCAAAGGCCAUUGCUACACUGCUUAAACAAACGUAUUUUUCACUAGUAAACUUCCACGUCAUAUUCCUGUUUGCAUGCCUCCUCACCUGUAAUUCUUUGCUCAUAUAGCCUUUAUUUAUACCCCACAAUUCAGAAGUCAAAUUUCCACUCUCUUCGUCUGCUGUGAACCAGCAGCAGCAAGCAGGUAGGAAAUCAUGUCCUAAUAUGCAAAUGACUUCCUGAACACCCCAUAUUGUGGAACCACAUGCAUCUGGCAUGAUGGGGCAGUGUGGGACAAAUUGUCCUCAGUCAGGGAUUUUGCUACUCAGCAAAAGCUGAUGUUAAAGAGCGACGCCAUGUUCACAAUUAGCAUGAAAAAGGUGAGUGGGGUAAGGAUAAAGAGUGGAAUUAAGAAUUAAAAAGGGGGAAAACAUCCCCUGUAUCAAUACCACGCAGUUUUAGUGCUGAAAUCACAGAACAAACGCAUCAAAUAAAUACUUUCUUCAUGUGCAGCUAAUUUCACCCCGCCAUUUUGAUCACGUCAUUCCCUCUGGAAAAUUGCAAUUAAGUUUGGAGAGAUAAAACAUGCCAACUACUCUGCAUUUCAAGGCUUGAUUGGCCUAUCAGCUAGUCAGUGUGCCGCCAUGGUUUUCAUCACUGUUAAUUGAUCCUUUCUUUAAUUAAUCUGGAAAGGAAAGCCCAUAUCUCUAUCCUGUCUGAUCGUCCCCUCUGUCUGUCAUAACACAAUAAAGGCCCUAUCCUAUUGCUGCUAGCUCUGCCUUAGCCUCUCCCUCUGGCUCUCAGCCAAACUGACUAUUUAUGGUGCACCUAUCUGAGGACGAGACAAUGUAUGGAGUUCAAUGGCUGGGUUCAUUAACAGUGCUUACCCGGGCUGCUUCUCAUUGCCAUGCCGUGACACCUUGCCUUGAAUAUAUGAAUGUGAAGGUUGUCAGUAGGCUGAGUGUUUUUCUAACUACCCACUGGUCUAAAUGUUGUUCCUUUAGAUCCUUGUCCAACCCCCCACCCCUCACCAUCUUCAACACUGCAGCAUUUCUCCUCUGAUUCAAUGACACCUCUGCUUUUUAAUGCUCUCUCCCUCGUCAUGUAUGUUAGCAUACAUAAUAAUGGCAAAGACUGCUUUCACAUCAAGUGAAAAGAUGAAGGUUUUUGCUUUUUGUGUAACUUUGUAGUUUUAUUCUUCUGUAAUUCCUCUGAAAUUGUUAAAAGUUCAACUCAUUUAAAAACAGUCAAACCAGGCGAAAAAGACAAAAAAAAAGUCUUCAAGUUGGGGUACAUUUGAGAGCAAGUAUUUCUGGCUUUUUACAAAUAAAAAGGUUUCUAAAGGUCUUUGUCUGAUGGGUGUGGUUUUCAUCCUAGCGGAUACCUCAAGACUUUUUCAAAAAAUACUUUCUUUGUCCGUGUUAGAAAAGUCUGUGCCCUCUCUUUUGUGUAUUUUAACAGUUGGCCUGUGAUUCUGACAGCUCUACCUGCUGUAAUGGUUGCCUCUAGGAGGUGUGAAACAAGGUCUUAACACUUUGGCUUUUCAGUAUGAAUGUGUGCUUCUGUCUGUGCUCACAGUUAAAGUUACAAUUGGACCAUAAAGCGUUUUUCCCCAGCAGACUGUAAAGAAAUGGAUGGGAGGCAGCUGAGAAAUGAACAUGUGAGUAUCUGUUUCUGUCUAAUUAAAUCCGCAGAACAGCCUCAAGCCUUCCUCUGCCAAGACUGGAUUCAGACAAACUUGCAGAGCCUGUGGUCUGGCUUCUGUGGUAGCACACUGCCACCUAUUGUUUAAAGUCCUCAUCUGUGCUCUGAAACCUUUGUCUGUUCCUCAGCUGAUUGCUGAAAAGACAAGUUAGCUGCUAACAGAUAACUGAUGAUAGUGACAUCAGUCAUGUGCCGGGAUAAAACACUCUUUUAAGAUCACAUAGCUCUUUUGAAGGCUUCUUUAUUACUAUUUGUACAACACAUAGGCUACCUCUAAUGGCACAAAUCAUCUGAGCAGGAGAGUAAUGUAACCCCCAGCUCUUAUGUGUUAUCAUUGUGAAAUGUGUUUUCUUACUGUGGGAUUCUGCACAGGCCCAUUUGUUGUUGUUGCUCUUGAGAACAAAGCAAAAAGAAGAAGUGGCAGCUGGAGGAGCAAUUUUUGUCCAUCAAGGGCUAUUGAGAGUUCAAUUAUUUAUCUUGUGAAGUGUUCCAAGGAUGUGGUCAGCUCAUCAGGGUUAUAAUGCACCGAGUGAGAGGACAUGUGCACGGAGCGCAUGGAGGAGGAUGUUGUUGUAGUCUGAAAAAAGUCAGCUAAAGCUUGUUUCCAGAUACCAGAACUCCCACGCUCCGUGCAGCUGAUGAGGAAGUCUUAAGAAACGGACACUGUUUAUAUCUGUGCUGCUGAGGAGGACCAAACUGUGAAUGUUGAAAAAAGAAAAAAACAAAACAAAACACUACACAAACUUUAUCUGAGUGACUUCAUUCCUCUUUUAAUAAUAUAUUUAUUAAAAGUGAAUAAAGGGGUACUGGAGGUCAAGCCUGCCGGCCACUCUCACACAGAAACAGACUGUUUGUCCUUUGGAGAAUUUCUGUGGGAGUCUAAAUGACAUUAUACCAACACGCCGUAAACAGUGUAAAAGUUCAUGUUGCUCACCCUUUUUUUAUUUAUUUAUUAAUAUCUAUUUCAAGGCAUGCUUUUGCAAUGCAAGUAGCAAAAUGACUUUUUUGAAUUUAAAAAGUUAAAAGAUUUAUUUCUUUGAUUUUGGUGAAAAGUUUCAUCACCCAGCUGGCACAAAUGACUUUGUAGACUAGGCUGUGGUGAAACGAACGAAUGAUGGAAAUGUUUUCAGGUUUUUACUUUUUUAACUCAAAAGUUUUUUUUUUUCUUUUUUUACAGUUAGACAACUGAUUUAUGAGCCUCUUCCCCUUGAUCAAUAUUCCUUUCUUUAAACAUAGGAUAGAAAAGAAAAAGCUGUCUGCAGCAUAUUGCAGUUUUCAUUUUUUAAUUAAUAAUUUAAAGGUGCAAAAUAAAAUGUAUAUUCUACACAGUAAAAAUGUGUAACUGCUACAGAGCUAAUCCUAAAGGGGUUCACUUGGCAGGAGUGUAUUAUAGAAUUAUUUGGACCUGUUGACAAAGGACUGACAACCCCAUAGACUCAAAAUGCUCAGAUUUCUGAUUUUGUUUCUAGUUUGAAUAAAAGUUGAAAAUUUUAUAGUGAUUUCAUGUCCAAGAGGAAACUUCCCUUUUCUUUCUUUUACACUGAACACCAUCAUAGUAUUUCAAACCAGCAGAGGUUGAAAUCUUUUAUAAGACUUGAUCUCACAAGCAGAAUCAAAGUAAAUAUAUUCUAUCCAGGUUAGGACUCAAUGAAAAACAUCAAGCCAACAAUGAGAAGAGUGGCAGAAGAAAAGCUGUGCUUAUCACUAUUCAUCAUCUUCACUUAAAGCCAAGGAACCUUCAGCCAUUUUUUUUCCAGCACAGCUACAUAACAACAGUUAAUGGAGAGAGGCUGGCAGGAGAAAACCGGAUAUGCAUUAUGUCCAUAAAGAACGUCAAAUUCAGCCUGACAUCAUUCUUUGUUUUGAUCAGUCUUGUUGUGAAGCACAUCCAUAAUUGGAAAGGUUGCAUCCACAAUAAUGUGUAUCAUGAUUUAAGUGUUUUUUUCUGUGUAGUGGGGCAGGUUCAGGGAAGCAUAUUUGUGGUGAGAAUGAUGCCUUUACACCUACAUAGAGAUCUGUGGCUUUACCAGUGUAUUAAACGACAAAACGUUCCAGUGUUCAGCGUCCAGACUCGUCACUGCUCCAGACCUUUAGACUCUGCAUUGUAAAGAAUGACAAAAGCAAAGUUGAGCUGCUCAGCCUAACCCCUCGCUCCAUGUGCCACCAAGACACGUCUUUUUCCAACUUUUCCAACUUUACAAAGUGUUUAAAUCUGCUGUUUCCCAAAGGCAUCCAUGAAGAAGCGAAGUGGAAGUGAGAUCCAGAGAAAUUCAACUGCAGUGAGAACAGCACCCGAGGAAAAAUCCAUCACUGGUUUAUCCCCUAAAAAACGGAUCACUUUCAGAAUUCCUGCUAAUGUCCAUCCAUUUCUCCCAGUCAAAUGGACUCUGGAGAAGUGACUGAUUUUACACUGAACUCAAUAAUCCACAGCCUGUGCAGCUUAAGUCAUGGAGCUUCACUGUGCGUAUGUUAACACCAUUAAAUCACCUCAAAUGCCUACAUGAUUCAAUCUUUUUCACAGUGGACGACAAGUGAAUUGAAUUUCCCCAAAGUGGCUGUCCAUUUCCUGUCUGCGUGUGACGAGUGGCUGUACGGUUGCCGGGGAAUUCAGACCCACUCUCCCCUUCACUUAACUCCCAU